rnacentral:rRNA from 1 species
GAUUAGCGCUAGGCGCAGGCUUAACACAUGCAAGUCGAGGGGUAACAGGGAGGAGCUUGCUUUUCCGCUGACGACCGGCGCACGGGUGCGUAACGCGUAUAGAACCUACCUUUUACAGGGGAAUAGCCCAGAGAAAUUCGGAUUAAUGCCCCAUAGUAUUAUUGAAUGGCAUCAUUUAAUAAUUAAACAUUUAUGGGUAAAAGAUGGCUAUGCGUUCUAUGAGCUAGAUGGUAAGGUAACGGCUUACCAUGGCAACGAUAGAUAGGGGUCCUGAGAGGGAGAUCCCCCACACUGGUACUGAGACACGGACCAGACUCAUACGGGAGGCAGCAGUGAGGAAUAUUGGACAAUGGAGGCAACUCUGAUCCAGCCAUGCCGCGUGCAGGAAGACGGUCCUAUGGAUUGUAAACUGCUUUUAUAUAGGAAGAAACCUUUCCACGUGUGGAAAGCUGACGGUACUAUAAGAAUAAGCACCGGCUAACUCCGUGCCAGCAGCCGCGGUAAUACGGAGGGUGCAAGCGUUAUCCGGAAUCAUUGGGUUUAAAGGGUCCGUAGGCGGACUAAUAAGUCAGGGGUGAAAUCCAACAGCUUAACUGUUGAACUGCCUUUGAUACUGUUAGUCUUGAGUUAUAUGGAAGUAGAUAGAAUAUGUAGUGUAGCGGUGAAAUGC